AGCACUGUAGGUGUCAGCCGCCGCGGUAAUACGUAUGGUGCAAGCGUUAUCCGGAUUUACUGGGUGUAAAGGGAGCGUAGACGGAUUUGCAAGUCUGAAGUGAAAGCCCGGGGCUCAACCCCGGGACUGCUUUGGAAACUGUAGGUCUUGAGUGCUGGAGAGGUAAGUGGAAUUCCUAGUGUAGCGGUGAAAUGCGUAGAUAUUAGGAGGAACACCAGUGGCGAAGGCGGCUUACUGGACAGUAACUGACGUUGAGGCUCGAAAGCGUGGGGAGCAAACAGGAUUAGAUACCCUGGUAGUCCACGCCGUAAACGAUGACUGCUAGGUGUCGGGUGGCAAAGCCAUUCGGUGCCGCAGCUAACGCAAUAAGCAGUCCACCUGGGGAUACGUUCGCAAGAAUGAAACUCAAAGGAAUUGGCGGG
rnacentral:rRNA from 1 species